rnacentral:rRNA from 1 species
UACGUAGGGGGCGAGCGUUGUCCGGAAUUAUUGGGCGUAAAGCGCGCGCAGGCGGUUUUUUAAGUUCGUGGUGAAAGACCGGGGCUCAACCCCGGAGCGUCCGCGAAGACUGGAAGACUGGAGUGUCGGAGAGGAGUGCGGAAUACCUGGUGUAGCGGUGGAAUGCGUAGAUAUCAGGAGGAAUACCGGUGGUGUAGACGGCUCUCUGGACCGCAACUGACGCUGAAAACACGGAAAGCGUGGGUAGCAAACAGG